rnacentral:rRNA from 1 species
UACAUAGGUGGCAAGCGUUGUCCGGAUUUAUUGGGCGUAAAGCGCGCGCAGGCGGUCCUUUAAGUCUGAUGUGAAAUCUUGCGGCUCAACCGCAAGCGGUCAUUGGAAACUGGGGGACUUGAGUACAGAAGAGGAAAGCGGAAUUCCACGUGUAGCGGUGAAAUGCGUAGAGAUGUGGAGGAACACCAGUGGCGAAGGCGGCUUUCUGGUCUGUAACUGACGCUGAGGCGCGAAAGCGUGGGGAGCAAACAGG